ncrna:Bacillus thuringiensis serovar monterrey BGSC 4AJ1 skipping-rope RNA
GAUCUAUGAGGUGGGAAAGGUUCCCCACGCGCUUAUCUAACCACUGUUCGCGAUCAAUCAUUUGAAUGGUUAGGUAAGUUACCAGAGAUGUAGGAUACGCCGCCCUACCAUCGAUC